UACGAAGGGGGCUAGCGUUGUUCGGAAUUACUGGGCGUAAAGGGCGCGCAGGCGGUCGCUCAAGUCAGGCGUGAAAGCCCCGGCUCAACCUGGGAAUAGCGCUUGAGACUGAGCGACUUGAGUUCGGGAGAGGAGAGCGGAAUUCCCAGUGUAGAGGUGAAAUUCGUAGAUAUUGGGAAGAACACCGGUGGCGAAGGCGGCUCUCUGGACCGACACUGACGCUGACGGCGCGAAAGCGUGGGGAGCAAACAGGG
rnacentral:rRNA from 1 species